GCAGGAAUGGCGAAAUGGUAAACGCGUCAGAUUUAGAAUCUGAAUUUUGAGAAUUUGAAAUGCUUUGCAUUCG
rnacentral:tRNA from 1 species